rnacentral:misc_RNA from 1 species
AAGUCGUAGCAAUGUUUCCGUAGGUGAACCCGCGGAAGGAUCAUUAAUACGUAUCCAACGUUAAACCCCCUGUGAACUUUUACACUUGCUUCGAAGCCCUCCGGAAUUGCAACCCUGGUAAAUCAUUGUUGAACGGAUUUUGAUUCAGGGACCUCAGUUUGGGGAGCCUAGUUGAGCGAUCGUGCGCAAGUAAGGAUAACGCUUUUCGAUCACUGGAGGCCGACACCGGCCGGUGGACAGGUUGAGUGGCUUCCGUAGGAAACUGCUGGGCAUCAAACGGACAACUGUUAACAAUGGAAAACUUGGUUCUC